GUUUGAACCGAAUGCUCACCCCUAUUUCCAAGGGAGGGAGGGGGAAGCAGGGUUCGUUGAUUGUUGCCUGCCCCAUGAGGCGGUUAUUAGACUACAAGUAUGGUGCCCAUGGCAUUUGAUAUUACCCCUGAGAUUAUAGACUUGGCGAACCUCAAUGAUUAAGGGGUUUACAUCAUUUUCUUUUCCCUUUAAAUCAUCGUGGACGUCAGAACCAAGCUCAACCAUUAUCACACCUGCAGUCUUUAAUGAAUGAAUAAAAAGCAUUAAUGCUACGUGUACUGCACAUAAUUUUUAGACUCUAAAUUUUUUAUAAAUUCAGGAGAAGGUGGUACAUAUUGAAGAUUUUGCAGAUUAAAACUCUAGUGCUGAUAUUAUAUACAAGGAGGAUGAAGCCAGAUGCGUAAUUUCAUGUUAAUGAUGUGUUCUCGUCCAGUAUUUUGUCCUACUCAUUUUUUUUAUUCUUUUAUUUUCGUAAAAUACAUAGUUAAUUAUUAUUUCCUUUUCUUUUCUGUAGGAGCUUCAUCCCUCUCCUUUUUUCUAUGAAAAUUUACCAUCACUUCAUUUUGCCUAAGCUUUAUUUUUAUAUAACUGUGGAACUCAUACUCAACUCAACUCAACUCA
rnacentral:misc_RNA from 1 species